GGGUGAUUAGCUCAAUUGGCAGAGCAAGCGUCUUAUACACGCUCGGUUCCAGGUUCGAGUCCUGGAUCACCCACCA
rnacentral:tRNA from 2 species